rnacentral:rRNA from 1 species
GAUGAACGCUGGCGGCGUGCCUAAUACAUGCAAGUCGAGCGAACAGACGAGGAGCUUGCUCCUCUGACGUUAGCGGCGGACGGGUGAGUAACACGUGGAUAACCUACCUAUAAGACUGGGAUAACUUCGGGAAACCGGAGCUAAUACCGGAUAAUAUAUUGAACCGCAUGGUUCAAUAGUGAAAGACGGUUUUGCUGUCACUUAUAGAUGGAUCCGCGCCGCAUUAGCUAGUUGGUAAGGUAACGGCUUACCAAGGCAACGAUGCGUAGCCGACCUGAGAGCGGGAUCGGCCACACUGGAACUGAGACACGGUCCAGACUCCUACGGGAGGCAGCAGUAGGGAAUCUUCCGCAAUGGGCGAAAGCCUGACGGAGCAACGCCGCGUGAGUGAUGAAGGUCUGCGGAUCGUAAAACUCUGUUAUUAGGGAAGAACAAAUGUGUAAGUAACUAUGCACGUCUGGACGGUACCUAAUCAGAAAGCCACGGCUAACUACGU